CACGUAGGGCGCAAGCGUUGUCCGGAAUUAUUGGGCGUAAAGAGCUCGUAGGCGGUCUGUUACGUCCGCUGUGAAAUCCCAGGGCUUAACCCUGGGCUUGCAGUGGAUACGGGCAGACUAGAGGUAGGUAGGGGAGAAUGGAAUUCCCGGUGUAGCGGUGAAAUGCGCAGAUAUCGGGAGGAACACCGGUGGCGAAGGCGGUUCUCUGGGCCUUACCUGACGCUGAGGAGCGAAAGCGUGGGGAGCGAACAGG
rnacentral:rRNA from 1 species